rnacentral:rRNA from 1 species
GCAUAUCAAUAAGCGGAGGAAAAGAAACCAACAGGGAUUGCCCUAGUAACGGCGAGUGAAGCGGCAACAGCUCAAAUUUGAAAUCUGGCCUUCGGGUCCGAAUUGUAAUUUGUAGAGGAUGCUUUGGGUGCGGUACCUUCCGAGUUCCCUGGAACGGGACGCCGGAGAGGGUGAGAGCCCCGUACGGUUGGAUACCAAGCCUAUGUAUAGCUCCUUCGACGAGUCGAGUAGUUUGGGAAUGCUGCUCUAAAUGGGAGGUAAAUUUCUUCUAAAGCUAAAUACCGGCCAGAGACCGAUAGCGCACAAGUAGAGUGAUCGAAAGAUGAAAAGCACUUUGAAAAGAGGGUUAAAUAGCACGUGAAAUUGUUGAAAGGGAAGCGUUUGCGACCAGACCUUUUCCAGGCGGAUCAUCCGGUGUUCUCACCGGUGCACUUCGCCUGGUUUAGGCCAGCAUCGGUUUUCUUAGGGGGAUAAAGGUUUAGGGCAUGUAGCUCCUUCGGGAGUGUUAUAGCCCUCUACGUAAUACCCUUCGGGGGACCGAGGACCGCGCAUUGCAAGGAUGCUGGCGUAAUGGUCGUCAACGACCCGUCUUGAAACACGGACC